GGAAUACAAGGUUUCUGAAUUUGGAGUGAGGUUAUAAAAGAACAAUACAUGUUACAUAAUCCAAUUAAAUUUGCUAAUCUUCAGAAUCAUUGAGUCCAACUCCCUGUUCCUUGCAGGCCUAUCUAAACCAUAUGAAUAAGAGGAUAAUGUUAAACUCAACCAACCAAAUCUACUGAAAGAAAUUACUUCGAUAGUACAGAGGAACAACAGAAGCACUUUCAAAUCUUGUUUCAGAAGAAAGAAGAGGAAGACGGCACAGCAAAGAGGCUGAGAGCUUUCAGAGACAGAGACGCAGCCUUUCAGUGGGGCUCAUGAGAAACAUGAAACACUUCUCAGAAAACUGCCGAAGACAUGAGGCUCCACCAGCUUCGUAGAACCUGCAGGAAUCAAGGAACAGGC
rnacentral:lncRNA from 1 species